rnacentral:rRNA from 1 species
UUCGCAAUGCCCGAAAGGGUGACGAAGCGACGCCGCGUGGGUGAGGAAGGCCUUCGGGUUGUAAAGCCCUGUCAGGAGUUAAGAAAUGUAAGUGUGCUAAUAUCGCAUUUACUUGACGAAGGCUCCAAAGGAAGUCACGGCUAACUCUGUGCCAGCAGCCGCGGUAAUACAGAGGUGGCAAGCGUUGUUCGGAAUUAUUGGGCGUAAAGAGCACGUAGGUGGGUUUGUAAGUCAGAUGUGAAAGCCUCCUGUUCAACGGGAGAAUUGCAUCUGAAACUACAGAUCUUGAGUAUAGGAGGGGAGAAUGGAACUUCUGGUGGAGCGGUGAAAUGCGUAGAUAUCAGAAGGAACGCCGGCGGCGAAAGCGAUUCUCUGGCCUAUUACUGACACUCAGUGUGCGAAAGCUAGGGGAGCAAACGGGAUUAGAUACCCCGGUAGUCCUAGCCGUAAACGAUGGGCACUAAGUAGAGGGGUUUU